AUCCUCAGCAUGGUCUUUCUGAGAUUCACAGCCUGCUCAUAAGGACACGAAGGGAAGAAAAAGACAGCAGAAAAGAUUCCCUGAAUAAAACAGAGCAGAAUGAAUUGCCAGCAAAGACAGGGAAGGCAGACAUAAAAAAGCACAGAACCAUG